rnacentral:tRNA from 1 species
UCCAGGGUAGUAUAGCGGCGAGUACGGCCGGUUCAUACCCGGCAAACGCAGGUUCAAAUCCUGUCCUUGGGA